UGCCAGCAGCCGCGGUAAUACGAAGGGUGCUAGCGUUGUUCGGAAUCACUGGGCGUAAAGAGUAUGUAGGCGGUCUGGAAAGUCAGGUGUGAAAGCCCGGGGCUCAACCCUGGACGUGCUUUGGAUACUGCCUAUCUUGAGUUCGAGAGAGGUGAGUGGAAUUCCGAGUGUAGAGGUGAAAUUCGUAGAUAUUCGGAGGAACACCAGUGGCGAAGGCGGCUCACUGGCUCGAUACUGACGCUGAGGUGCGAAAGCGUGGGGAGCAAACAGGAUUAGAUA
rnacentral:rRNA from 1 species